rnacentral:snoRNA from 1 species
AGGUGGCCUGAAGAAUGGCCUCCAAUAGGAAUUUAGGGUCAUUGUGACAAGGGGCACAAAACUUGUGACAACCCUCUGAGCAAAUGUCCUACACAU